rnacentral:rRNA from 1 species
CCCUACGGGGGCAGCAGUGAGGAAUAUUGGUCAAUGGGCUUACGCCUGAACCAGCCAAGUCGCGUGAGGGAAGAAUGCCCUAUGGGUUGUAAACCUCUUUUGUCAGGGAGCAAUUUGCGCUACGUGUAGCGUUAUCGAGAGUACCUGAAGAAAAAGCCUCGGCUAACUCCGUGCCAGCAGCGGCGGUAAUACGGAGGAUGUGAGCGUUAUCCGGUUUUAUUGGGUUUAAUGGGUGCGUAGGCGGAAUGCCAAGUCAGCGGUAAAAUCGCGGGGCUCAACCUCGCUCCGCCGUUGAAACUGGCGUGCUGGAGUGGGCGAGAAGUAGGCGGAAUGCGUGGUGUAGCGGUGAAAUGCAUAGAUAUCACGCAGAACUCCGAUUGCGAAGGCAGCAUACCGGAGCCCAACUGACGCUGAAGCACGAAAGCGUGGGUAUCGAACAGGAUUAGAUACCCCUGUAGUC